GGGGCAGUAGCUCAACUGGGAGAGCGUCGCGUUCGCAUCGCGAAGGCCGUGGGUUCGAAUCCCAUCUGCUCCA
rnacentral:tRNA from 1 species